GCUGGGCAUGAUGGCACACACCUGUAAUCCCAGAAACUUGGGAGGCUGAGGCAGGAGAAUUGCAAGUUCAAAGCCAGCUUCAGCGACUUAGUGAGGCCCUAAGCAACUUAGCAAGAACCUGUCUCAA
rnacentral:sRNA from 1 species